UGUCGUUCUGUUACACAGUCAUGGGUGUUCAUCACCGUGACAGCACAGGGGGAGACGCUGUCCGUAUGCCAGGUUGUUGUGGCCUGCUGCUUCCUGUCUGUCAGAAACGUAGUGAUCCACUGACAGGUGUGGGGAGGCAUAGUGUGCUGGGAUAGUUUGGAGUAGAGGACGUCCAUUGAUAGACAUUUAAUGUCAGUGCCAACAUUUUCACAGGUUUAACAGGGGCAUGGGUCCAGCCUCCAGCUGAUUUCCAGACCAAUAUCUUUGAACCAUUUGGAAAUUCUAAGAGACAGAUGCUAUUUUAAUCAGCAGAUGUGACUUCCUCACCUGGCACCUUCUUUUACCACACAAUCUGAUACAGGCCUGCAUGCUUCAAAUGGAGAUGUGUUUCACACAUUUAGAGGAAAAAAAAAGUCAUGAGAAUAAAAACAGUGAUUUUAGAGUAAAACAAAAACUAUGAAUAAGUCUUAUAGAGACUGAGGUUAAAUAAGAAUUUUAUAAAAACCUUUUAGAGAAAUGCUGUGAAUAGAUUACAAAUAAGGAAGCUGACCAUAACCUUCAUAGGGUCUCAUUUUAAAAAUUCUGUCAAGUUAAAACCUGAAAAUCUAGAGUACCCUUAAUGGGCUUGUGGCAUUAAUGUGACUAACUUAGCCUGUGGCAUCAGAAUCGUCCUUUAAUGUUUUUAUGCCAUCACUCAAUGUAGGUCUAUAGUAUAAACACUACAACAAGUCGUUAUACUCCAGAGCAGGAUUUCCUUCUCUGCUUUCACUCUUACAGCAGUAUGGAGAGGUUUUUCUGGUUUUGAAGGAAAAUAUUUCUUACCAGAUGCUGCUCCCUGCUGGUCAGAACAAGCUAUAGUGAGAAUAGACUGACGUUAAUGUGACUUGACCAUAGUGUAUGCUUCAAUAAGCUACUGGUCACCAUUUCAGUUCACCAAGCUCAAACUGAGCCAACAGAAAAUAUACCUCUGAUCCUCUGAUGUUUUAAAUGAUUUACAAAACUUGGAUCACUACUCAGGGUUCAAAUACUGAGCUCACACCUUGUAAGGUCUUAUUGUGCAACCCAUUCUGUAGCUGACAAUGGAAACAGUGGACUUCCCAAUAGGAGCUGUAAGACUAUUCAGUAGGUCAAAUAAAAAACAGAUGAAGAGCCAGUCCAUGCCAGGAAGCUAUGUUAACACUACACAUUAUUAUCAAUAUACACCAUCAGUCAUUCCAUGGAAACUGUACAGACUGGACCAUGGAAUAUUAAGUUUUCUUGUUUAAAUCAUAAUAAAAACUGAACUUUCCAUUUAAUUGCAUAAAGGACAUUGUCAGACCUGUACCAAAACAUUUUACAAGCUCAGGCACUACUUGUUUUACUUUACCCAAUGCAUCAAGAUAACACAGUUGGUUUGUUCCACCGUCACAGGAAAGCAGGUAAACUGAAUCAGUGAGUGUGGAAUGUGUCAGGGCUGGAAAAGUCAAAGUAAUAUGGCCCAUGUGGUCAAAGUUAACAUCACGCUUAGCGUGCAGCUAAGUGACACAAAUCAUGCUUUUAUACACAUGCAUUUGAAAAUUUCAUUUAAGAAGCAAAGUUUUUGAGUGACAGGGUGAAUAGGUAAGGCUUGACAAAGGUGGUGUUGAAAGAAAAACAUACCAUGAAGUUUAAAUAAAUAAAUCACCAUUUGAAUUUGUCUUGUUCAAACCCUUAAAAUGUAAUUUCCUUGAUGUUACUCAAUGGAACAGUGCUGCAUUUUAGUGCAGAAAUACACGGGUGUGAUGGGGUGGAAUGUGAAACUUAUGGACAAUUUAAAAUAUAUUUUUUAAAUAGAAUGAUUUAACACAUUUUCCAUAAAGAGGGAACAAGUCAGCUUUACUAAUUCAUAUUGUUACUGCACAUCCAUGUGAAAAAAGGUCUGAACAGACAUGAGAAAAUGGGUAUUCUAACAGAAAACUUGUAUAUAAAAAUUGCAAUUUAACUUUGACUUCAUGCUAACAAAUACACUUGAAUUAAUGUCUUCAGCCACUGAAAACAAGUUUUAUACUGCCUCGCUCUUUG